UAGAUUAAAAAAACAUUAAAGACAGUAAAUAUUCAGGAAAAAAAUUUAAUGUAUUUGGUGAGCAUCAUUCGAAUACUUUCAUUAUCCACAGUUUUUAAAAUUGAUACUUGUAGUAAAAAUUACAAUAAAUUUC